rnacentral:lncRNA from 1 species
CCGCUUUCCGGGAGGCUGGAGUCGAAGGCCGUGAGUUGGAUCCACUUGAACAAGCAAAAGUGGAUUUGGUUUCUGCAUACACAUUAAAUUCAAUGUUUUGGGUUUAUUUGGCAACCCAAGGAGUUAAUCCUAAGGAACAUCCAGUAAAACAGGAAUUGGAAAGAAUCAGAGUAUAUAUGAACAGAGUCAAGGAAAUAACAGACAAGAAAAAGGCUGGCAAGCUGGACAGAGGUGCAGCUUCAAGAUUUGUAAAAAAUGCCCUCUGGGAACCAAAACCGAAAAAUGCAUCAAAAGUUGCCAAUAAAGGAAAAAGUAAAAGUUAACUUUUUGGUUUUGGUGUACACAUAUUCAAAAAGUACAU